AUUGAACGCUGGCGGCAGGCCUAACACAUGCAAGUCGAGCGGAUGAAGGGAACUUGCUCCUGGAUUCAGCGGCGGACGGGUGAGUAAUGCCUAGGAAUCUGCCUGGUAGUGGGGGAUAACGUCCGGAAACGGGCGCUAAUACCGCAUACGUCCUGAGGGAGAAAGUGGGGGAUCUUCGGACCUCACGCUAUCGGAUAAGCCUAGGUCGGAUUAGCUAGUUGGUGGGGUAAAGGCCUACCAAGGCGACGAUCCGUAACUGGUCUGAGAGGAUGAUCAGUCACACUGGAACUGAGACACGGUCCAGACUCCUACGGGAGGCAGCAGUGGGGAAUAUUGGACAAUGGGCGAAAGCCUGAUCCAGCCAUGCCGCGUGUGUGAAGAAGGUCUUCGGAUUGUAAAGCACUUUAAGUUGGGAGGAAGGGCAGUAAGUUAAUACCUUGCUGUUUUGACGUUACCAAAAGAAUAAGCACCGGCUAACUUCGUG
rnacentral:rRNA from 1 species